rnacentral:ncRNA from 6 species
UUGGACUACAUAUGGUUGAGGGUUGUAAGA